rnacentral:rRNA from 1 species
UACGUAGGGGGCAAGCGUUGUCCGGAAUCAUUGGGCGUAAAGAGCGUGUAGGCGGCUCGAUAAGUCCGCUGUGAAAGUCGGGGGCUCAACCCUCGAAUGCCGGUGGAUACUGUCGGGCUAGAGUGCGGAAGAGGCGAGUGGAAUUCCUGGUGUAGCGGUGAAAUGCGCAGAUAUCAGGAGGAACACCUAUUGCGAAGGCAGCUCGCUGGGACGUAACUGACGCUGAGACGCGAAAGCGUGGGGAGCAAACAGG